rnacentral:rRNA from 1 species
UACGGAGGGUGCAAGCGUUGUUCGGAAUUACUGGGCGUAAAGCGCGUGUAGGUGGCCCUUUAUGUCAGGUGUGAAAUCCUCCCGCCCAACGGGAGAAGUGCGCCUGAAACUGAAGGGCUUGAGUGCGAGAGGGGGAGACGGAAUUCCUAGUGUAGAGGUGAAAUUCGUAGAUAUUAGGAAGAACACCGGUGGCGAAAGCGGUUUCCUGGCUCGCAACUGACACUCAGACGCGAAAGCGUGGGUAGCAAACAGG